rnacentral:rRNA from 1 species
AUGGUUUCGGCUAUCGCUUACAGAUGGGCCCGCGGUGCAUUAGCUAGUUGGUAGGGUAAUGGCCUACCAAGGCAACGAUGCAUAGCCGACCUGAGAGGGUGAUCGGCCACACUGGGACUGAGACACGGCCCANACUCCUACGGGAGGCAGCAGUAGGGAAUCUUCCGCAAUGGACGAAAGUCUGACGGAGCAACGCCGCGUGUAUGAAGAAGGUUUUCGGAUCGUAAAGUACUGUUGUUAGAGAAGAACAAGGAUAAGAGUAACUGCUUGUCCCUUGACGGUAUCUAACCAGAAAGCCACGGCUAACUACGUGCCAGCAGCCGCGGUAAUACGUAGGUGGCAAGCGUUGUCCGGAUUUAUUGGGCGUAAA